CACUCCUUUUUUACCUAUCUCUCUCUCAGAAGCUAUCUCGCAGAAGCUCUCUCUCUCGCAGAAGCUACUUCUCUACCAGAAUUGCCUCUUGCAGAAGCUUCUUCCUCAGAAGGAGCUGGCACAACUGUAUGAAACUGAGCUGAAAUCAUUGUGGUAAGAAGAAUUUUUAGACAGGAAUUCUUCUUAAAUGCAACAGUCACUAGGCUGAGCAUUACUCCCUGUUGGUGCCUUCUGGGUGGAUCCCUAGGCCGGAGACUAGGCUGAUCAGAAACAACAGGACAACAUUCUCUCUGUGGAUACUUCAGGAAGUCCCACAAGUUGCUCAAAGAGCAAAUCCAAGGCCGUGAAAAGGAGAAGGAUCGACUGCAUGCGGAGAAUGGCAUCAAUGAAGGCAUCAUGCGAUCCCUAAACGAAAUCCUCAAGGAGAGUGACAUCCCGGGAGACAACAAAGAUGUAGGGAGCUUGAAACUGAUCAUGAAAGCCCCUUGGCCCCUCAUCACUUCUUGUUUUAUACUUCAUACCCCAUUACAGGCUUGUCUUGCUGUCAUAACCUGUCAACAUUUUAAAAAUCCAAAGAGGCAGAGUUAGGCUUGUUCCCAUGAUCUUAACUUCCCUAUCAGCAAAGUUAAAAAAGGAAAAAAGUAAGGCUGUUUAUAAAUUUAAUAUCGGCCUAGGUCAGUGGUUUUCAUACUUGCAAACUUCAGGCAACUCUUCCCUCUUUGAGGGACUCCCGCCUACUGCAGAGGAUUCUGGGAAGUGUUCAAGGAUGUACACUAUAAUUCCAUGCAGAGCAUUGGUCAACUUGUUGGGUAUCAUUGUCACUUCAUGUGAAGUAAGAGAACACCUUAGAACAGGUGUCGGUUGACUUCAGGCUUACAUGGUGUGUAUACUGUUUUUUAAAGUGUAUUUUAAAUUUAUAAAGCAAAAGUCCAUACCCAGGAUGUCUUUUAACAGCUAAGGCAUAACUUCCAAUCUGUAUUACAUGAUCCUGAGUAUGCAUUCUUGCUUAAGGACACAAGUUCUUUCCUGGAUCAAAUCAAAGCUCAGCACACUUUGCAACCAGCA